rnacentral:rRNA from 1 species
AGCGAACGCUGGCGGCAGGCUUAACACAUGCAAGUCGAACGCCCGUAGCAAUACGGGAGUGGCAGACGGGUGAGUAACGCGUGGGAACGUGCCCUUCGGUUCGGGAUAACCCAGGGAAACUUGGGCUAAUACCGGAUAAGUCCUUUACGGGAGAAAGAUUUAUUGCCGAAGGAUCGGCCCGCGUCCGAUUAGCUAGUUGGUGGGGUAAUGGCUCACCAAGGCGACGAUCGGUAGCUGGUCUGAGAGGANGAUCAGCCACACUGGGACUGAGACACGGCCCAGACUCCUACGGGAGGCAGCAGUGGGGAAUAUUGGACAAUGGGCGCAAGCCUGAUCCAGCCAUGCCGCGUGGGUGAUGAAGGCCCUAGGGUUGUAAAGCCCUUUCGGCGGGAAGAUAAUGACGGUACCCGCAGAAGAA